UGGGGAAUGACUGCUAAGGCGUAUGGGUUUUGUUUGGGGUGAGGAAAAUAUCCUGGACUUAGAUAUUGGUGACGGUUGCACAACUCUGCACCCUGCGUACAUCACUUGGUUUAACCGUCACAAUUACCCGGUAAAUGGGAAUUCUCAGCUGCGUUUCAGACAAGGAACCUACAGCCUGGAAGGGUUAGUUAACCUAAAAGGGGAAGAAUUCUCAAUUUCCACACCAGAUGUGCAUGCCCAUUUACCUCCAGGAAAACACACAGAGAAAUAGCUGCGUUUUUGUCUGCAGCUAAGGGUUCUUGCCCAAACCAGGCAGUAGAAGGAAGAGUUUGCUGGGCUACAGUGCAGUUUGAAAAUCAUUAGCUUCCCAACGAUAGAAGAUGACAGAUGAAAUCUCUCCCUCAAAGUACAUGAGAAGGAUUGUUUUAAAGUUUUAGAAGUUUUCAG
rnacentral:lncRNA from 1 species